rnacentral:ribozyme from 1 species
GGUCGCAAGUUUGAGGCCAUAGCAGAAGCGCUUACCGUGCGGCCUUGUCAGAUUCUAACAAAUCUGUGAAUUCUGCU